AUAUGAAUAUUUAUUUCCCUUAUCUAUUUAACAGUUCAGUAGCUGGCUGGGGCUUGUCCGCAGUACGGUUGGUUCACUUUCUGCAGGCUGCAACCGCCAGCCGGCCCUAUAUUGUUGACCAUUCGAAAUAAACUACAAUUUCCGGUUUUGCAUUAUCCGUUCCAUUCUGCUGUUGCGACUCCGACUCACAUGGGGUUCACGUGCACGUGUGUGUCGCGUCUAAGUUGUUUGUUUGGUCAGAACCUCAAACGUCACCCUUGACUGCCAUUACGCAGAUCGAGCAACAGUAAUUGAUGACUAUCCUAACAGUGCAAAUUUCGCACCGAUAUUUGGAGACACUCGAAUAAACAGAACCCAGAUUUAAACAACACCCACAGUAAACAGUCGAACCCGCAAUAAUCUUGGCGUGUCAAGGGUUUAUUUGUGAUACGUUUGUUUGUUCUGGAGUCACAGCAUCGCCGUCGCCGCACCGCCCGGUUAGGGUAUGUGAUUCCUGUGUCAGCCUCGCGUGCAAUUCGCCAAAGGCGUGCUUCCUUUACCUAACGUUGAAAGCCGGAGCAAUGGCAAUAGCGAGCCAGGAAACAACAAAUGCCAAGGAAAGAUUGAAAGGAUUUGAAUAAUAUAAUCUGCAAAGCUGUUGUAACACCAUCGUCUCGAUCAAACCAGUCAGUCGGGAAAAUAGUUUCAGGAAGUUAUGAGCUUACCAUUCAUAUCACGUCGCACUGAAGCAAGUGGAGCUACAUGGUGUUUUGUGAGCAGAUUAUACAGUACCGAGGCAGCAAUUUAAUAAAUUUGCUUUAAACUUUAAAA